UGACAGGUGGUGCAUGGUUGUCGUCAGCUCGUGUCGUGAGAUGUUGGGUUAAGCCCCGCAACGAGCGCAACCCUCGACCUUAGUUGCCAGCAUUCAGUUGGGCACUCUAAGGUGACUGCCGGCUAAAAGUCGGAGGAAGGUGGGGAUGACGUCAAAUCAUCAUGCCCCUUAUGACCUGGGCUACACACGUGCUACAAUGGGCGGUACAAAGGGUCGCGAACCCGCGAGGGGGAGCCAAUCCCAAAAAGCCGCUCUCAGUUCGGAUUGCAGGCUGCAACUCGCCUGCAUGAAGCCGGAAUCGCUAGUAAUCGCGGAUCAGCAUGCCGCGGUGAAUACGUUCCCGGGCCUU
rnacentral:rRNA from 1 species